AAAUUGAAGAGUUUGAUCAUGGCUCAGAUUGAACGCUGGCGGCAGGCCUAACACAUGCAAGUCGAACGGUAACAGGAAACAGCUUGCUGCUUCGCUGACGAGUGGCGGACGGGUGAGUAAUGUCUGGGAAACUGCCUGAUGGAGGGGGAUAACUACUGGAAACGGUAGCUAAUACCGCAUAACGUCGCAAGACCAAAGAGGGGGACCUUCGGGCCUCUUGCCAUCGGAUGUGCCCAGAUGGGAUUAGCUUGUUGGUGGGGUAACGGCUCACCAAGGCGACGAUCCCUAGCUGGUCUGAGAGGAUGACCAGCCACACUGGAACUGAGACACGGUCCAGACUCCUACGGGAGGCAGCAGUGGGGAAUAUUGCAC
rnacentral:rRNA from 1 species